UUAAGAGUAUCUUUCUGGCAACAUAAACCAUUUCAUAGCUUAUACAGUAUGUAAUGGAUAAUGGGUACAGUCAAGAUCAGGGAUAUCAAACUCAAUUUCAUUGAGGGCCGCAUCAGCAUUCUGGUUGCCCUCAAAGGGCCAGUUCCAUGUAAUGCUCACAGUAUCCAGGUGGGCGUGACUGGGUGGUCACAGCCAGGUCACCGCAACUAGGUGGGUGUGGCUGGGAAGCCAUGGGCAGCUUGACAUGGGUGGUGGGGAUGGGGGGGUUCUUUUACAGGCCUAGAGGGACCAAUAUGGAGCCUGUGGAAAGUGAAAGGGUGUGAAGUGUUCUUACUUUGGCAGCCAGUGCGCAUGUGCCCACGGGGCCCAUUAGGUGCCUAAGUUGGAGUUGGAAGAAGCUCAGCAGCUACAUGAAAGGACACUCUCAGGAUCUGGCCCUGCGUCUCUUUUGCUUCCUGAAACUAAUCUAUCGAGUGGAUUCUUAGCUGCUACUGUUUUUAAGAGUGGAAAAAUGAAGUUAGAUUUUGUGCUGGAUUCUGUUGUGUCGGCGCGUUACCAUAGUGAUGGAAAUGCCUGCACCUGAUUGGUUGGGACGGGGUUAUGCUAAGCUCGGGAGGUUACUCGUUUCCUGAUUGGUUACUGCUGUUCUUUUUGCCAAAUAUAAAAAGGCGAGCUGUCAGAUAGACUGACAGUUCAGUGUUCUAAUGUUUUGCUGUUGGCUGGAAUAAACCGAUGUUACGUUGACAUCCUCACCUCAGUUAAUGACUAUAAUCCAAACACAACAAGUGGCGACGAAGGUGGGAUUUUGAGGCAACGGAAGAAGUGAAUGUUAUUCUGAGCGGCCGCACUGAGGGUCCAGCUCGAAGAUGGCCGAACGUGGCAGCGCCACGUGGAUCAACUGCGCAGAAGGUUGUUAGAUGAACUGUUGGAGGAGGAAGGAGUCUCUCCACAGACUUUUUCCGAUGCGGCAACCCCAGAUAUAACAACAAAAAGACGCGCAGCCCCAUCUCCAUUAACCAGGGCAAACAAUGACGCAGACCGCAAUUCCGAAGUGGCUAGCCCACCGCAAGACUCACCUGAAGGAGCAGUUCCGGCCAGAGUUCCAGAUGAGCUGUCAUUCCAAUGCCCAGUGGAGCCGCAUUCCAAAGGGCUGACCCCGAAUUGCGACGUUCGGGGUGAAUACGCAGGCGUCCGGCGUACCUUGCGGACUACGCAUGCGCCAUCCAGGGGGAAAGAGGUGUUGUGUCGGCGUGUUACCAUAGCGAUGGAAAUGCCUGCACCUGAUUGGUUGGGACAGGGUUAUGCUAAGCGUGGGAUGUUAUGUUACUCGUUUCCUGAUUGGUUACUGCUGUUCUGUUUGCCCAGUAUAAAAAGGCGAGCUGUCAGAUAGACUGACAGUUCAGUGUUCUAAUGUUUUGCUGUUGCCUGAAAUAUACCGAUGUUACGU